UUUAUAUGAGAGUUUGAUCCUGGCUCAGGAUGAACGCCGGCGGUGUGCCUAAUACAUGCAAGUCGUACGCACUGGCCCAACUGAUUGAUGGUGCUUGCACCGGAUUGACGAUGGAUCACCAGUGAGUGGCGGACGGGUGAGUAACACGUAGGUAACCUGCCCCGGAGCGGGGGAUAACAUUUGGAAACAGAUGCUAAUACCGCAUAACAACAAAAGCCACAUGGCUUUUGUUUGAAAGAUGGCUUUGGCUAUCACUCUGGGAUGGACCUGCGGUGCAUUAGCUAGUUGGUAAGGUAACGGCUUACCAAGGCGAUGAUGCAUAGCCGAGUUGAGAGACUGAUCGGCCACAAUGGAACUGAGACACGGUCCAUACUCCUACGGGAGGCAGCAGUAGGGAAUCUUCCACAAUGGGCGCAAGCCUGAUGGAGCAACACCGCGUGAGUGAAGAAGGGUUUCGGCUCGUAAAGCUCUGUUGUUGGAGAAGAACGUGCGUGAGAGCAACUGUUCACGCAGUGACGGUAUCCAACCAGAAAGUCACGGCUAACUACGUGCCAGCAGCCGCGGUAAUACGUAGGUGGCAAGCGUUAUCCGGAUUUAUUGGGCGUAAAGCGAGCGCAGGCGGUUGCUUAGGUCUGAUGUGAAAGCCUUCGGCUUAACCGAAGAAGUGCAUCGGAAACCGGGCGACUUGAGUGCAGAAGAGGACAGUGGAACUCCAUGUGUAGCGGUGGAAUGCGUAGAUAUAUGGAAGAACACCAGUGGCGAAGGCGGCUGUCUGGUCUGCAACUGACGCUGAGGCUCGAAAGCAUGGGUAGCGAACAGGAUUAGAUACCCUGGUAGUCCAUGCCGUAAACGAUGAGUGCUAGGUGUUGGAGGGUUUCCGCCCUUCAGUGCCGGAGCUAACGCAUUAAGCACUCCGCCUGGGGAGUACGACCGCAAGGUUGAAACUCAAAGGAAUUGACGGGGGCCCGCACAAGCGGUGGAGCAUGUGGUUUAAUUCGAAGCUACGCGAAGAACCUUACCAGGUCUUGACAUCUUGCGCUAACCUUAGAGAUAAGGCGUUCCCUUC
rnacentral:rRNA from 2 species